CAGACAUCGUUCCAUUUCACCGAGCCUUACAGGCUUACAAUACAAACUUGAACAGUCAGGAUGUUUCACUGCAAAUCUUUACAGAAGUGCUCUUCGACUGAUAGUCAUUGUGGAGGAAAAGAAACAAAUGCUGAACUAGGAGGCAACUUGGGGUUUUAAUAUGUUCCUUAAGUUUGCAUCCUCCCACCUUCCCUGGAUGAAAACCACUGGUGAUGUGAUUUAAUUCUUUUGGCUGAUGUUUGGAAUAUGUGCUGUCAACUGCUUAAGUUUCAUUUCCGGAGUCAAAGACUUCAGCAACUUCCUUUACUUUAAUGGACAGACAACUCCACUGCAAAGUUUGAAGCAUGAGAAGCUCUGUGAACACUCUUUUGCAUUGUAGAUAGACAUUUUCUAGCUAAGAUCUCCAGGGAAAAGUUUGAGGGAUCACGAGAGAUGGAUGAAUCAUGAGGAAGGGGAUCUACAUAUUUCUGACCAGCUCAGAGUAAGAGUGAGAUAGACAAGAGGAAUGCAGAAAUGGUACCACAAAGACAAAUGCUCCUAGAAGCCAAACGGAACAGGCAAGGAAGAGGAAUUCAGACUCUUUUGGGGGGUCUUCUUGCUUCACUACAUACAAAUCACCAAUUGCUGGAACUUCAUGGAGAAUUAGAAAGGUUUCUUCAUCCCAGUCAAUUCUGUGUCAUCAAUAAAUAUGGUUACAUUGAUAAAUAAGGUUAACCUGAAAGUCCAACUAACAUUUUCUUUAAAUAUAUUUUGGAGCAGAUCUUGAAAUCUCCUUAGGUAGACUGUUAUAGUGUUGAUUCAUCUUUACUUUGUGGAUCUCUUUACCUUAGGUUGUACAAAUCCUUCAAAUUUAAGUCCAUAUUUUUCUGGUUCCAUUUUCCACAGAGAUGGAGAUCCGGUUAGGUGUCUUGUCUCCUUGUGGUAAUACAAGCACCAAUUAAAUCACAGUUUUAAAAGGCAGAACAAUUUGAGAUUCUUAUUUCUUUUGUGCAUCUAGUUUCUAAUCUUGUUAAUGCCUUUUUUUCUUUGUGACCUUCUUAAAUAUUUGUAAGCUUUUUUUAAAAAAAUUCUUUUUUAAUAACAUGUUUGACUGCUUACUUGUUAUGUGUCAGGCAGUGUUCUAAGCACUUCAC
rnacentral:lncRNA from 10 species